AUACGUAGGGGGCGAGCGUUGUCCGGAAUUACUGGGCGUAAAGGGUGCGUAGGCGGCCCUUUAAGUCAGAUGUGAAAGCCCGCGGCUUAACCGCGGAACUGCAUUUGAAACUGGAGGGCUUGAGUGUCGGAGAGGGUAGUGGAAUUCCCAGUGUAGCGGUGAAAUGCGUAGAUAUUGGGAGGAACACCAGUGGCGAAGGCGACUACCUGGACGAUAACUGACGCUGAGGCACGAAAGCUAGGGGAGCAAACAGGAUUAGAUACCCUGGUAGUCCUAGCCGUAAACGAUGGGUACUAGGUGUGGGUGGUUUCGAUACCAUCCGUGCCGCAGCUAACGCAUUAAGUACCCCGCCUGGGGAGUACGUGCGCAAGCAUGAA
rnacentral:rRNA from 1 species